UACAGAGGUCCCAAGCGUUGUUCGGAUUCACUGGGCGUAAAGGGUGCGUAGGUGGUUAGGUAAGUCUGAUGUGAAAUCUCUGGGCUCAACCCAGAAACUGCAUUGGAUACUAUCUAGCUAGAGGAGUGGAGGGGGGGACUGGAAUACUUGGUGUAGCAGUGAAAUGCGUAGAUAUCAAGUGGAACACCAGUGGCGAAGGCGAGUCCCUGGACACUUCCUGACACUGAGGCACGAAAGCUAGGGGGAGCAAACAGG
rnacentral:rRNA from 1 species